UACAGAGGUCUCAAGCGUUUGUUCGGAUUCAUUGGGCGUAAAGGGCGCGUAGGCUGCGGGGCAAGUCGGGUGUGAAAUCUCAGAGCUCAACUCUGAAACUGCACUCGAUACUGCUUUGCUCGAGGACUGGAGAGGAGAUUGGAAUUCACGGUGUAGCAGUGAAAUGCGUAGAUAUCGUGAGGAAGACCAGUGGCGAAGGCGGAUCUCUGGACAGUUCCUGACGCUGAGGCGCGAAGGCCAGGGGAGCAAACGGG
rnacentral:rRNA from 1 species